rnacentral:tRNA from 1 species
GCGCCGCUAGCUCAGCGGAUUAGAGCAACGGACUACGGAUCCGUAGGUCGGGGGUUCAAAUCCCUCGCGGCGCACCA